AACGAACGCUGGCGGCAGGCUUAACACAUGCAAGUCGAACGCCCCGCAAGGGGAGUGGCAGACGGGUGAGUAACGCGUGGGAAUCUACCCAACUCUACGGAAUAACUCAGGGAAACUUGUGCUAAUACCGUAUACGCCCUUCGGGGGAAAGAUUUAUCGGAGUUGGAUGAGCCCGCGUUGGAUUAGCUAGUUGGUGGGGUAAAGGCCUACCAAGGCGACGAUCCAUAGCUGGUCUGAGAGGAUGAUCAGCCACAUUGGGACUGAGACACGGCCCAAACUCCUACGGGAGGCAGCAGUGGGGAAUAUUGGACAAUGGGCGCAAGCCUGAUCCAGCCAUGCCGCGUGAGUGAUGAAGGCCCUAGGGUUGUAAAGCUCUUUCACCGGUGAAGAUAAUGACGGUAACCGGAGAAGAAGCCCCGGCUAACUUCGUGCCAGCAGCCGCCGUAAAAC
rnacentral:rRNA from 1 species